AACGAACGCUGGCGGCAUGCCUAACACAUGCAAGUCGAACGAGAUCUUCGGGUCUAGUGGCGCACGGGUGCGUAACGCGUGGGAAUCUGCCCUUUGGUUCGGAAUAACAGUUGGACACGACUGCUAAUACCGGACGAUGACGAAAGUCCAAAGAUUUAUCGCCAGAGGAUGAGCCCGCGUAGGAUUAGCUAGUUGGUGUGGUAAAGGCGCACCAAGGCGACGAUCCUUAGCUGGUCUGAGAGGAUGAUCAGCCACACUGGGACUGAGACACGGCCCAGACUCCUACGGGAUGCAGCAGUGGGGAAUAUUGGACAAUGGGCGAAAGCCUGAUCCAGCAAUGCCGCGUGAGUGAUGAAGGCCUUAGGGUUGUAAAGCUCUUUUACCCGGGAUGAUAAUGACAGUACCGGGAGAAUAAGCUCCGGCUAACUCCGUGCCAGCCGCCGCGGUAA
rnacentral:rRNA from 1 species